UACGAGGGGGGCAAGUGUUGUUCGGAAUCACUGGGCGUAAAGGGAGCGUAGGCGGUCGGGUAAGUCUGAUGUGAAAGCUCUGGGCUUAACCCAGAAAUGGCAUUGGAUACUAUUCGGCUUGAGGUCUGGAGGGGGACUGGAAUUCUCGGUGUAGCAGUGAAAUGCGUAGAUAUCGAGAGGAACACCAGUGGCGAAGGCGAGUCCCUGGACAGAUCCUGACGCUGAGGCACGAAAGCUAGGGGAGCAAACAGG
rnacentral:rRNA from 1 species